GACGAACGCUGGCGGCGUGCUUAACACAUGCAAGUCGAACGGAAAGGCCUGCUUUCCCUUGUGGAUUGCGGGUACUCGAGUGGCGAACGGGUGAGUAACACGUGAGUGAUCUGCCCCCAACUUGGGUAUAAGCCUGGGAAACUGGGUCUAAUUCCCGAUAGGACUGCAGGGUGGUGCCUGUGGUGGAAAACGAUUUUCUAGUGGUUGGGGAUGAGCUCGCGGCCUAUCAGCUUGUUGGUGGGGUAAUGGCCUACCAAGGCGGCGACGGGUAGCCGGCCUGGGGGGGUGGACGGCCCCAUUGGGACUGAGAUACGGCCCCGACUCCUACGGGAGGCAGCAGUGGGGAAUAUUACACAAUGGGCGGAAGCCUGAUGCAGCGACGCCGCGUGGGGGAUGACGGCCUUCGGGUUGUAAACUCCUUUCGACCGCGAGGAAGCCACCUGGUUGGAAGGGUGGUGACGGUAGUGGUAGAAGAAGCACCGGCUAACUACGUG
rnacentral:rRNA from 1 species